CUUUCGGGAGAGAUAAAACCUAGUGCCACCUUUAUGCAUGACUGUAAACAGUUUCAAAUUUAGGGAUCAGUGAAAGGGCAAAGAGAAAACAGUGAAAGGGCAAAGAGGGCAGACCCUUGGAUGAAAACAGCUUCGCCGAGAUGUUGCUCAAAGGUCCAUGGUUCUAUAUCUGCA